UACACACCGCCCGUCACAUCACGAAAGUCGGCUGUACCGGAAGUCGGUGGGCUAACCCGCAAGGGAGGCAGCCGCCCAUGGUAUGGCCGGUGAUUGGGGUG
rnacentral:rRNA from 1 species